CCCUCUUCUCUCUCUUUUCUUAGAAAUAAGUUAUUAGAAGAUCAGUGAAACCAGCUUCUUCCUCAGCUCAUGUCUCUUAUCCUACCUUGAGCACAUCAAGAAUAUCAUCACCUUCCUAUUCCUCUGGGAACAGCUGAACCUUGGUGGUACUUACAUACCAGGUGGAAGAAGUUUAUAUGAAAGAAAGGUCUCUAAACCACUUUGAAAGGACUAAGGAAAAUGUGAAGACAGUUUAGAGAUGAGAACAAAAAUCAUUCUAGGUGGUUUUUCAUGUCUUUACAGAUAGAUUAAACUUAGAGAUAGAAUUCAGGGAGAGUAUCUAAUUGCAGUAACUGGCUUCCAAAUAUACUAACAGACAUUUUAAUCUCUGAAACCUAUAAUUCAAGACCAAAUUCUCAUCUAGAAGAUAAAUGAUAGUCAGCCAUAGAAGUCUCAGCUUUAAAUUACCAGCUCUUAGGUGAAAGCGCCGAGUCCUCAGCUCAAGAAAAAAUAGAAGACAAUGGGAGACACAGGCAAGAUUCUACUAUCUAGGCUACAAGUCAGGAUGCAGCCUCUGCUGAGAACCACACUCAACACUGCCUAAAAUCCACUUUUCACCCUGCUUGUGAAUGAGAAGCUCUAGAACGUUCUCUGUCACACUUGCCAUUUGCAGUACCAGCAACACCUGGGUAAAGUAGCCCCAGCUGAACUCAAACUCCCUUUGUGGCUGCUGCAAUCCAAGAGCUGCUGGCUUUCACACCGGAUGGGCGUGUUCUUUCCUCCUUCACAAGUGAGGCUGUCUUCUUACCUUCUGUGCUUUCCACAGGCAAUUUUGUGCCUGUGUGAAGUGUCGUCUUCUGGCCUGGAGAAACCCCAUCUUCUUUGACUUCAGGGGAGAAAAGACCAACACCCUCCUGGUUCCAACCGCCUUUCAGGUGUUGACUUGUGUCAUCAGGCACGGU